rnacentral:rRNA from 1 species
GAUGAACGCUAGCGACAGGCCUAACACAUGCAAGUCGAGGGGCAGCACAUGAGUAGCAAUACGAUGGUGGCGACCGGCGCACGGGUGAGUAACACGUAUGCAACCUACCGGUAAAAGGGGGAUAGCCUCUCGAAAGAGAGAUUAAUACCGCAUAAUAUCUUUGGAUGGCAUCAUUUAGAGAUUAAACAUUUAUGGUUUACCGAUGGGCAUGCGUAUGAUUAGCUAGUAGGUGAGGUAACGGCUCACCUAGGCAACGAUCAUUAGGGGUUCUGAGAGGAAGGUCCCCCACACUGGUACUGAGACACGGACCAGACUCCUACGGGAGGCAGCAGUGAGGAAUAUUGGUCAAUGGGCGAGAGCCUGAACCAGCCAAGUCGCGUGAAGGAUGACGGCCCUAUGGGUUGUAAACUGCUUUUAAACGGGGAUAAAGUGAGCCACGUGUGGUUUAUUGCAGGUACCGUUUGAAUAAGGACCGGCUAAUUCCGUGCCAGCCGCCGCCGUAAGAC